rnacentral:tRNA from 1 species
GCCUUCUUAGCUCAGUGGUAGAGCGUUGGUCUCGUAACAUGCAAGCCGGUAAACCAAAGGUCGAGAGUUCAACCCUCUCAGGAGGCA